rnacentral:lncRNA from 1 species
AUCUUUAUGCAUGGCUAGGGAAGAAGAAGGUGUGUGUGAAUUAUUGGCCAUGCAUGUGUGAGCAGUAUUGUGUUUCCUCAUAAGCCUCACGUUUUCCGUGGCAAAUUAAUCAAAUUAGAAGAAGAGGCACAUAGAGAAAAUUGGAAGUGGGGUUUGGUUAAUUUGUGUGAUUGUUAAAGAGAAAGAAGAAAGGGAAUCACAUAUUUAUAAGUACAAAAGAAGAAUAAAUAAAAGGGAAAUUUUGGAAAGGAAACAAAACAAUAAUAUGAAGCUAUGUCUUUUGGGAGCAAGGAUUAGAUGAAUUCUUGUCUGACAAAUGUAGAGAGAUCAAAGAGAGUCAAUAAAGUAAUCAGAACUCAAUGGUCCCCUGAUUUCCCACUUUUGAUUUUAAUAUAUACAAAGAUAGAGAAAUGUUGUUAAUGGCUAUGUAUGUGUGUAUUUUAUUUAUUGUGCAUCAUACCUUGAGGGAGGGAGAAUGGAUGUGGACACAUUUUCUUAUUCAAUUACCUUCCCUGAAAUUACCAUAGCAUUCCACGUAUAAGCAACUUGUUAGUCU